CGCAACAUAUUACAUAGAAUUGUUGAAUUGCAUUUCAAAUUUCCCCUUAAUUUCUAAAGUGGAUCUACACUGUGGUGUUUGGUUAGUUCCGACAACUGCACUGCGCAUGCUACAAUCCUGUGGAGGAAAAGAAGAACAUUUAGCUAACUCUAUUGGUUGGUGUUUUAUUUUGUCUCGUCUCUUUCAACAUGUGGCCUUGUGGGGUUUGGAGUUCCUCUUACUUAAUUCUAAGGUCGAAUUCCUGUUUAUCAUUAAUUGUAUUGAUCUUCUUUGUUCUGAGAAUGCAGAAGCAGUGGAGCCGACUGGAGAUCCAGUGAAGAUGAACAGUGCGAAUUACGAAGAAGAUUUUAAGAAUGUUUGAGAAGCAAAACGAACUAAUAAAAUAGUUCACUCAAGUAUUCUAGGCCCAAGAGGCCCACACUAAUAUCUCUCAACUGCCUAAUAACCUGAUUACUACUAAUAAAUAUCCCUCGUACAUCUGUUUUGCAGAUUUCCAGAAGACCGUGCUACUCGGAGCACCUACGUUACGACUGAUUUGGAUCAUUCCACGAUUAUAAUUCAGUAUCGAAUGAUCUCCGACAUCACUGGACAGUCUGGAUGCAGCUCCUCGAUCGUUACGAUCCCUUCAAUCAUCACGUUACAACAUCGACGGUUCAAUACAAACAACGCCGUAGACGCAUCGCCGACGGAUCACUGCUCCGUCAUCGUUUGGCAUGACCAUCAUGAUUCCAAAUCGAUUUGCACUCCAAAUCACCGACUAUGUUUAUUUAAAUAAUUAUCAAUGUUGACAGAACUGUAUUAUCAUUGAUUGAGAAUGAAUUAAAAAUUUAUUAGAUUACAAAUCAUCCCAACAGCGAGAAACUCAGAAAUGAGAAUGU
rnacentral:lncRNA from 1 species